GCGAGAGUGGUGGAAUUGGUAGACACGCUGGAUUUAGGUUCCAGUGCCGCAAGGCGUGAGAGUUCGAGUCUCUCUUCUCGCACCA
rnacentral:tRNA from 1 species